GACGAACGCUGGCGGCGUGCCUAAUACAUGCAAGUCGAACGCUGAAGAGAGGAGCUUACUCUUCUUGGAUGAGUUGCGAACGGGUGAGUAACGCGUAGGUAACCUGCCUUGUAGCGGGGGAUAACUAUUGGAAACGAUAGCUAAUACCGCAUAACAAUGGAUGACACAUGUCAUUUAUUUGAAAGGGGCAAUUGCUCCACUACAAGAUGGACCUGCGUUGUAUUAGCUAGUAGGUGAGGUAAUGGCUCACCUAGGCGACGAUACAUAGCCGACCUGAGAGGGUGAUCGGCCACACUGGGACUGAGACACGGCCCAGACUCCUACGGGAGGCAGCAGUAGGGAAUCUUCGGCAAUGGGGGCAACCCUGACCGAGCAACGCCGCGUGAGUGAAGAAGGUUUUCGGAUCGUAAAGCUCGGUUGUAAGUCAAGAACGGGUGUGAGAGUGGAAAGUUCACACUGUGACGGUAGCUUACCAGAAAGGGACGGCUAACUACGUG
rnacentral:rRNA from 1 species